UAGGGGUAGCAGGAAUUCCCAGUGUAGCGGUGAAAUGCGUAGAUAUUGGGAAGAACAUCGGUGGCGAAGGCGUGCUACUGGACCGUAACUGACACUCAGGGACGAAAGCUAGGGGAGCGAAAGGGAUUAGAUACCCCUGUAGUCCUAGCUGUAAACGAUGGAAACUAGGUGUGGCUUGUAUCGACCCGAGCCGUGCCGUAGCUAACGCGUUAAGUUUCCCGCCUGGGGAGUACGCACGCAAGUGUGAAACUCAAAGGAAUUGACGGGGGCCCGCACAAGCGGUGGAGUAUGUGGUUUAAUUCGAUGCAACGCGAAGAACCUUACCAGGGCUUGACAUGUCGCGAAUCUCGGUGAAAGCUGAGAGUGCCUUCGGGAGCGCGAACACAGGUGGUGCAUGGCUGUCGUCAGCUCGUGUCGUGAGAUGUUGGGUUAAGUCCCGCAACGAGCGCAACCCUUAUUUUUAGUUGCCAGCAUUAAGAUGGGCACUCUAGAAAGACUGCCGGUGACAAACCGGAGGAAGGUGAGGACGACGUCAAGUCAGCAUGCCCCUUACGCCCUGGGCUACACACGUACUACAAUGGUUGGGACAAAGGGCAGCGACUCCGCAAGGAAUAGCGAAUCUCAUCAAACCCAGCCUCAGUUCAGAUUGCAGGCUGCAACUCGCCUGCAUGAAGGAGGAAUCGCUAGUAAUCGCAGGUCAGCAUACUGCGGUGAAUUCGUUCCCGGGCCUUGUACACACCGCCCGUCACACCAUGGAAGCUGGUCACGCCCGAAGUAGUUACCCUAACCUUUCGAGGAGGGGGAUUCCUAAGGCAGGGCUAGUGACUGGGGUGAAGUCGUAACAAGGUAACC
rnacentral:rRNA from 1 species